CCUACGGGAGGCAGCAGUGGGGAAUAUUGCACAAUGGGGGCAACCCUGAUGCAGCGACGCCGCGUGAGUGAAGAAGUCUUUCUGUGUGUAAAGCUCUAUCAGCAGGGAAGAAAAUGACGGUACCUGAUUCAGAAGCCCCGGCUAACUCCGUGCCAGCAGCCGCGGUAAUACGUAGGGGGCAAGCGUUAUCCGGAUUUACUGGGUGUAAAGGGAGCGUAGACGGCAGCACAAGUCUGGAGUGAAAUGCCGGGGCUUAACCCCGGAACUGCUUUGGAAACUGUGCAGCUAGAGAGUAGGAGCGGUAAGUGGAAUGCCUGGUGUAGCGGUGAAAUGCGUAGAUAUCAGGAGGAACACCAGUGGCGAAGGCGGCUUACUGGACUGUAACUGACGUUGAGGCUCGAAAGCGUGGGGAGCAAACAGGAUUAGAUACCCGAGUAGUC
rnacentral:rRNA from 1 species